UUUUUCAAAAUAUAUUCAAUUUUAUGAUGUCAAUAUAAAUAGUGUUUUAAAACACUGUUUAUACAUAUAUAAAUCUGAAUAAAAGGUGCGCACAAAGGUAAAAUUUCAAUUUUUCUUCAUCACAAG
rnacentral:sRNA from 1 species